rnacentral:rRNA from 1 species
AUUAGCAUAUUAAUGAGGGGAGGAAAAGAAACUAACAAGGAUUUUCUUAGUAGCGGCGAGCGAAAAGAAAAUAGUUCAGCACUAAGUCACUUUGUCUUAAUGGCAAAUGUGAGAUGCAGUGUAUGGAAUGUCAAAUUUCUAGUAUGAGAAAUUAACGAUUUAAGUCCUUCUUAAAUGAGGCCAUUUACCCAAAGAGGGUGCCAGGCCCGUAUAACGUUAAUGAUUACUAGAUGGCAUUUCCAAAGAGUCGUGUUGCUUGAUAGUGCAGCACUAAGUGGGUGGUAAACUCCAUCUAAAACUAAAUAUAACCAUGAGACCGAUAGUAAACAAGUACCGUGAGGGAAAGUUGAAAAGAACUCUGAAUAGAGAGUUAAAUAGUACGUGAAACUGCUUAGAGGUUAAGCCCGAUGAACCUGAAUAUCCAUUAUAGAAAAUUCAUCAUUAUGAUUUUAAUAUUUAUAAUAUUAUAAUAAUGGUGUGCAUUUUUUCUAUAAAAGGACAUUGUAAUCUAUUAACAUCAAAUAUUUAUCAAAAGAUCAAUUGCAAAUGUUUAUUCAAAUUAUUUUGCUUGCAAUUUAACAUAGAAUAAAUGCUUUUGAUUUGAUAAAGUGUUGAUAGAUUUAUUAUAUAUAGUGCUUAAAUAUUUAUAUUUUAUAAUAGCAUAUUAAUCAUUGAUUUUUAUGUUUAUUAUAUGCACUUAUAUGAUUAACAAUGCGAAAGAUUCAGGAUACCUUCGGGACCCGUCUUGAAACACGGACCAAGGAGUCUAACAUAUUUGCAAGUUAUUGGGAAUAAAAACCUAAUAGCGAAAUUAACAUAACUUUAUAUAAUGGGAUUAAUUUUUAGCCUAUUUAUAGUCUAUUAAUUCAAUCCCGGGGCGUUCUAUAUAGUUAUGUAUAAUAAUAUUUAUAUUAUUUAUACCUCUAACUAGAGCGUACCUUGAGCAUAUAUGCUGUGACCCGAAAGAUGGUGAACUAUACUUGAUCAGGUUGAAGUCAGGGGAAACCCUGAUGGAAGACCGAAACAGUUCUGACGUGCAAAUCGAUUGUCAGAAUUGAGUAUAGGGGCGAAAGACCAAUCGAACCAUCUAGUAGCUGGUUCCCUCCGAAGUUUCCCUCAGGAUAGCUGGUGCAUUUAAAAAUUAUGUAAAAUAAUCUUAUCUGGUAAAGCGAAUGAUUAGAGGCCUUAGGGUCGAAACGACCUUAACCUAUUCUCAAACUUUAAAUGGGUAAGAACCUCACCUUUCUUGGUAUGAAGGUUGUGGUUGUGAUAUAAUGUGCCCAGUGGGCCACUUUUGGUAAGCAGAACUGGCGCUGUGGGAUGAACCAAACGUAAUGUUACGGUGCCCAAAUUAACAACUCAUGCAGAUACCAUGAAAGGCGUUGGUUGCUUAAAACAGCAGGACGGUGGACAUGGAAGUCGUAAUCCGCUAAGGAGUGUGUAACAACUCACCUGCCGAAGCAACUAGCCUUAAAAUGGAUGGCGCUUAAGUUGUAUACCUAUACAUUACCGCUAAAGUAGAUGGUUUAUGUUCAAUCUCGGUUGGAUUAUAAACUUUGAAACUUUAGUGAGUAGGAGGGUACAAUGGUGAGCAUAGAAGUGUUUGGCGUAAGCCUGCAUGGAGCUGCCAUUGGUACAGAUCUUGGUGGUAGUAGCAAAUAAUCGAAUGAGACCUUGGAGGACUGAAGUGGAGAAGGGUUUCGUGUGAACAGUGGUUGAUCACGAGUUAGUCGGUCCUAAGUUCAAGGCGAAAGCCGAAAAUUUUCAAGUUAUAAUGAAAAGUACUAAAUUGUGCUUAGUAAUUAAACACUUGAAUAAUUUUGAACGAAAGGGAAUACGGUUCCAAUUCCGUAACCUGUUGAGUAUCCGUUUGUUAUUAAAUAUGGGCCUUGUGCUCAUCCUGGCAACAGGAACGACCAUAAAGAAGCCGUCGAGAGAUAUCGGAAGAGUUUUCUUUUCUGUUUUAUAGUCGUACUACCAUGGAAGUCUUUCGAAGAGAGAUAUGGUAGAUGGACUAGAAGAGCAUGACAUUUACUGUUGUGUCGAUAUUUUCUCCUCGGACCUUGAAAAUUUAUGGUGGGGUCACGCAAACUUCUCAACAGGCCGUACCAAUAUCCGCAGCUGGUCUCCAAGGUGAAGAGUCUCUAGUCGAUAGAAUAAUGUAGGUAAGGGAAGUCGC